GUGUUUGUGCCAGCCCACUAACCCCAGGAGAGGGUACACCAAAGACAAUCCAACCAAAGAACAAGGGCACGCCUUCGCGGCUUUAUCUGCCGUUACACGAGUACUUAUUCAUAUUCGAGGAAGGCAUGCCACACUAGGAACAGUUUGUGGAUAAGAAGUAUUGUCAACUAGAGGGAAAGCUCUAUCAACUCCUUAUCCCACUCAUGACACUCUUGACCUGGAAAACCCCCCUUUGAAUACCUUAUAGAGCUGGGCAGGCAAUCGGUUUGAUUAUCAGCUGCUCCCCACCCAUCAGCGAAUGCGAGCCCUGCGAGCUGCGAGUGGAGAAAACGAGCCAUCCUCACCAACUAGCUAAUCAGACGCAAGCCAACAAAAUGUUUCCAGAGAAGAAUGAAUAUGCCGGAUCAGCAUCAGCACCAGAUUUCACUGCGUCUUAUGAACCUGGUAGUUACUUUCAAUCCCCUGCUCCACCUCUUUCAAUGCUUUAAUCCACCAGUCAUUCCCACUCGGAUAGAGGGGGCACCACAAACAAGGAAGGAGUUUAAUGCUUUAAGGAGAGUGGCUC
rnacentral:lncRNA from 1 species